UCAUUAUUUAGUGUUUUGUGGAAAUAUCCCCAAGAGGAAGUCGGCGUUAUUCGUAAUCUUGCAAAAAAAUUGCACACGGAAUAUGCAGAGGAUGCAUCAGUAGACCUUGCGCAAGAGUUGGAACAUUUGAAAGUGAUUCAUUCAGAGAACAUUGGAGAAAAUUUCCUGCCACCUCUUCAGUUGCCUAACAGACUUCUUUCCCUGAAACUGGAUGCUUUGUUUCCGAACGUUGUAAUCAUGUUGAGAAUUUUCUGCACCUCGCCUGUCACAGUUGCGCAAGCUGGACGUUCCUUCAGUACCCUUUCUCGAGUAAAAAACAUUUUGUGGUCCUCAAUGUGUCAAGACAGACUCACAAGUCUUGGAACUUUGGCCACAGAGGCCAGUCUAGCGCGAAAAUUGGACUACAAACCAAUGAUUGACAGCUUUGCUAGAGCUAAAUCCCGUAAGGCUCCGUUGUUGUAAGAAAAAAGCUCCUUCGUCGGUUCCAGUUUACCAGCCAUACGAAAGAACUGCAUUUGGAAUCACGCCUCUCGUUAACCCCACGUCAUCCCAUCCACCUGAAACUGACUCCCAGGAUAUAAACUGCCCCAUCCUCAUGACACUCGCCUCAUAUUUCGACUGUAAAAACCAGCAUCGUAUUCACCACGAACAAAUCUGUGAUCUGAAAAUACACAUGUUAAAUUAUUAAAAUGCGUAAUAAAGCAUCAGUAUAUAUCGUC